rfam:Prevotella sp. oral taxon 302 str. F0323 genomic scaffold supercont1.10, whole genome shotgun sequence.
UUAGGUGGUUAUAGCACCGGGGUUCCACCUCUUACCAUUCCGAACAGAGAAGUUAAGCCCGGUCGCGCCGAUGGUACUGUCCACAAGACGGGAGAGUAGGUCGCCGCCUUUU